CUGCCUCUUUGGCUUCCACCACAAAAAUAACUAUUAACCAACUCUUCUUCCCUCUGUCGAACAGGAGGAAUAUGAUUAUUGGGGGAAAUCUAGGGUUUACGUUCUUUCCUGUAAUCGAGAUCCAGACAACUCAGAGACUACUUCCCCUGCUCGUCUGCGAUUGGCUUCGGCAUUUGCUUGGAGACAUCGGAUUGGGAUGAUUCGUUGUAGUAUCUGUUUGCAAGUGAAUUAACAUCAAAAAAAUUUAGCAGAAAUCGUAGCCUAUGACAAAGAAUCAUCAUUCACAGAAGAUGUCAGCCCAGUCAGAUUGUCUCCUGGUGAUGCUGUUUGUGCUGAAGGUGUGCAUGUGCCAAAUUUUGUUAUACAAGAUAUGCAAGGUGCAAGCCUAGUUCCAUUUCAAUUUAUACAGGGAUAUGCUUCUGACAAUAGUGAAGAAAAGGAUGAGAUUGAUGUCACUUCUGUGAGAACUUCAUCUCUUGCAGGCCUACCAAAUAUCCACACAGACAACAAGAUUGAGUUCAAAUUUGCAUCACCAAGUAUUCUCUCUCAGAGAACUGUUGAAGGAAAUUUUAAUAAGGCGGAAAUCAAUUUUGAGCCUUCUAAGAAUCAUGAUAUCAUGGAAACUAAUGACAUGGAUAUUGACUGAGUUGAAACGCAGCAGACCAAGGAUGCAAGGCAGGAUUCAAGUGAGCCAAAGCUAGAUGAGUUUGGGAGACUUGUAAGAGGUGGUGGUGUCAGUGAUGGUGAUUCUGAUGACAUGCAAUAUAAAGAUAAGCAUGGAAAUAGAUGUGGGAAUUCAAGUCAUUGGUCUCCUCAGGAAGGUAGACACGGAUGGAACUGCAGUCCUAGAUGAAGGCUCCAAGAACAAUUCUCCACGCUAUUCUCCGCUGAAGUCUUUUAGGCAUAAUAAUAAAUUUUCAAGGAGAGAUAAGGAGGAACAUUCUGAAUGUUUCAAUUUUGUUCAAGGCCGAUGCAUCUGUGGAGCAUCUUGUCAUUUUCUCCAUCC